rnacentral:rRNA from 1 species
CCUGGUGAUUCAGUUCAGUAUGACCCACCUCUUCCCAUUCCGAACAGAGAAGUGAAAACACUGAACGUCGAUGAUACUAACCCUUGUGGUUGGGAAAGUAGAUUUUGCCGGGA